AGUUUACCCAAAGAAUUUCAUGUUGAUGGUGAAGCUCUAGAUACGGAGAUCUGUGUAACAUCUUUGAUUGACUGUUGCUUCAGGUUGUAAAUGUUUGAACAUAGGCCACUUCCAAUCCAAGAAAUUCUCAGAAGCCUUUCCAAUGUGGAAAGAACUGAGCUCGCGAAGAGAGAUCUCCUUGUCAGUGUCAUUACAGAGAGGCUAACUUUGAAUUUGUUUUGGCUAGGUUCAGAUCAGCUCUCAACAUUAACAUAAUGCCGCAGUCAUAAUGUUAGGUUAAAGUUCCAUAUCUGCUCUUCAAUGCUCCCUGCAUUUCAUAUAUCUUUAGGAGCUCUCCCCUGAUUUUUAGUUUAUGACAUCUCUUAUUCAUGCAUAAACAUUGUCAGUUAACUUACAUUUGUUUUCUCUAGAUCUGUUUUAAGAGAAGACAUUAACAAGCUACACAAGCAGUUGCUGGAUGAAAGAGGCAAAACUGAGAAACUGAGACAGGAAUUUGACCGAGAGGUUUUCAGUCUUCAAGCCAAGAUAGAUGAGAUGACGAGGGAGAGAGAACAUUUGUGCAAGGAAAAAGAUCACAUAAUGAAUGAGGUGAACCAGGCUGUGAGUGAUUUUUCAAAUGAAAGGGAUAAAGUUGUUGGACAGCUGAGAGAAGCAGAGGGAGAGAUCAAAGGUCUUGAAGAAUCAAAGAA